rnacentral:lncRNA from 1 species
UAAUAGCAUACCUUAUAUUAACUUCGACAUAACAAAAAAUAAUGUACAUAGUUGUAAACAAAUUAAUGUCAUAACAUAUAAAUGGCAUAGUCAUUCAGUUUAUUAUAUUACCCAAGAACAUGAUAAAGUGUACUCAAGUGGAGAAGAAGGUGUUAUACUUAUAUAUAGCAUAAAAAUGGGUACAUAUGAAUUUAUUCCUCAUUUAGGUAUACCUUGUCAUUAUAUAUAUAUUAAUAAUAUAAAAAAUUUAUUGAUAUGUAACGGAUUAGAUAAUACCAUUUACUUUAUUAAUCUUAGAGAACGUCUUUUUUUUUAUAAAUGUCGAGGUAUCAUUAUGCCUUUAGCGUUAAGGCAUUUGUUUUAUAAUAAUGAAAGUAUAAAUGAAAAUAUUUAUAACAACUUGGGUAUUUUUAUGGAUCAAAUUAUGGACAAGUAUAACUACAUAGUUGGUCGUGACAGUGGCAGCAGUGGUAACAGUGGCAGCAGUGGUGACAGUGGAAGCAGUGGUGACAGUAGUCCUACUGAAGAAAAUUGUGAUAUUAAUGGUAGUGGUGAUAAUGACAACCACACUCAAGUCGAACUAAACGAAACAAACAGUAAAAGUAACCAAUAUAUAAAUUUUAAAGACAUACAAAAACAACUAGAAAAACACAUAUACUCACACACAAAUGUUGAAAAUAAUUUAUUUUAUCAUAAACAUCAAAUCUGUUUUUACAGUGAUUCAAACAAUGGGUUAGUAUUUUGUUUUUUUACUUCUCCUAUUAAAUUACAAUUAUAUAAUGUAGAAAAAGAUAAACAUGUGAAGUUUAUAAGUGACUUAGAUAUAGUAUAUAAAAGUAGAACUAAUAUAGAAAAAACAAACACUUUAGAGUUGGUAAAAUUUGCAUUUAGUUAUAACAAAAAUACAUUAAUGACACUUGAAAAAAGAAUUUAUAGUAUGGGUAAUUUAUAUUAUAAUAGUAACAUUUCGCUUAAAAAAGUUAUAUAUACUGUAAAAUUUGGCAUACUUAUGAAAAACACGAUGGAUUAUUAUAUUAUAUUUAAAUAUGAACUCAAUUUACUGGACCCGGCUUGUAAGGAAGAAUGUGAAUUGCCUACUGGUGUAAGUGUCAUGAACGAUGGAAGUAACAAAAAUGUAGAAAGUAGCAAUGACAACAAGGAAGUCAAAGAGUUUCACGAACAAAUUCAACAGUUCAGCAUAAAUGAAACAGAACAAGUACAACAUAUAAUUAGCCAUCCCUUUUUAAAUCAGUUUAUUAUGUUAGAACAAAAUGGAAACAUAUCUUUUUGGUGCUUAGAAAAUAGCGAAAGCGUAUUUAAUGACAAUGUGUUUAAUCAAUUUAAGACUUAUGUAUUUAAUUUAGAAGAUGUAAAUAUAAACAGUGAAAUAAACAUAAGUCACAUUAAUGAAUUGUAUAAACCAGGUAAUAUAAAAGAGGGUACGUUUGGAAAUGGUGUAGUACGUAAUGUGACAGAUGACAAAGAUGGAGACAAAAAUGGAGACAAAAAUUGUGACGAAAAUGGAGACAAAACUUGUGACGAAAAUGGAGACAAAAAUGGAGACAAACAUGGAGACAAAAAUGGAGACAAAAAUGGAGACAAAAAUGGAGACAAAAAUGAAUAUGUUGCUGGUAUUGAUCGUUCUAAUGUAAAAAAAAAACAAGUAGUAGUAAUUAAAGACAUUAAUUAUCAAAAAAAAUCUAUUUUAUGUGGUGACAUAAGUAAAGAUGGUAAAGUAUUAUGUAUCUGUCAUGACGAUUUAAUUUCUAUAUGGUACACUAUAAAUUUAACACCAUUAGCUUUGAUUAAUCAUCCAUUAUAUACUGCUAUGAAUGAUAACAUAUUUAAUAUGUACAAAGGAUUAGAAACUAUACAACUAAACGAUAAUAUAUAUAUGUUUUACUUUUUUUUUGAUACAAUUUUUGUAUAUUCAAUAAACCAGUUUCAUUUAUUGUAUGAGCACAAAUUUAAAGGUCUAAUUGAGUAUGUCAAAUUUGAUGCAUAUUCAGAAACGUUUUUAGCUAUUGGUAUUACAAAAAAAGAGAAAAAAAAACGAAUCAAUGAUAAUACA